rnacentral:rRNA from 1 species
GGCCAGACUCCUACGGGAGGCAGCAGUGAGGAAUAUUGGUCAAUGGGCGGGAGCCUGAACCAGCCAUGCCGCGUGAAGGCGAGUGCCCUACGGGCGUUAAACUUCUUUUGUGCGGGAGCAAUAAGGGCCACGUGUGGCCCGAUGAGAGUACCGCACGAAUAAGCAUCGGCUAACUCCGUGCCAGCAGCCGCGGUAAUACGGGGGAUGCGAGCGUUAUCCGGAUUUAUUGGGUGUAAAGGGAGCGUAGACGGUUAUGUAAGUCUGGAGUGAAAGCCCGGGGCCCAACCCCGGGACUGCUUUGGAAACUGUGUAACUGGAGUACAGGAGGGGCAGGCGGAAUUCCUGGUGUAGCGGUGAAAUGCGUAGAUAUCAGGAGGAACACCGGCGGCGAAGGCGGCCUGCUGGACUGAAACUGACGUUGAGGCUCGAAAGCGUGGGGAGCAAACAGGAUUAGAUACCCCAGUAUA